GCAGAGUGUGGUGUCCUAGACACCAGAGCAGAAAGCAUUUCAAGGAAGAAGGCAUUCACUGUACCAAAUGCUGCUAACAAAUCAAAUAAGGAACCAGAAGCUCAGAGAGAGCAAGUAAUUUGAUUAAUGCACAAAGCUGGUUCUUAUGUUAGAAAUACAUACUGAAGUAUUUAUGGAUGAAAGUCUAUGAUGUAUAAGGUUUGUUGUAAAUACUCCAGCAAAAACAACAACAAAGGAAUAGUGAGUGAGGAAGAGAUGAAACAAGAGCAGCAAAAAGCUGGUAAUUGCUGAAGCUGGUUGAUGGGUACAUGAAAAUUCACUGUACUGUUCUCUUUUAUGUACAUUUGAAAAUGCCAUGAUAAAAAAUAAAAAUCC
rnacentral:lncRNA from 1 species